UACGUAGGGCGCAAGCGUUAUCCGGAAUUAUUGGGCGUAAAGAGCUCGUAGGCGGUUUGUCGCGUCUGCCGUGAAAGUCCGGGGCUCAACUCCGGAUCUGCGGUGGGUACGGGCAGACUAGAGUGAUGUAGGGGAGACUGGAAUUCCUGGUGUAGCGGUGAAAUGCGCAGAUAUCGGGAAGAACACCCGUGGCGAAGGCGGUUCUCUGGGCAUUACCUGACGCUGAGGAGCGAAAGUGUGGGGAGCGAACAGG
rnacentral:rRNA from 1 species